CGUCCAGGUACGUAGAACGCGUGGCGGCGUGCUAACACAUGCAAGUCGAACGGAGUACCCUUGAAGGAGUUCGUCGGACGAACUGAUAGGAGUACUUAGUGGCGGGACGGGUGAGUAAGCGUGAGUAACCUGCCUUGGAGUGGGGAAUAACAGCUGGAACAGCUGCUAAUACCGCAUGAUGCAGUUGGGUCGCAUUUUGGCUCUGACUGCCAAAGAUUUAUCGCUCUGAGAUGGACUCGCGUCUGAUUAGCUAGUUGGCGGGGCAACGGCCCACCAAGGCGGCGAUCAGUAGCCGGACUGAGAGGUUGGCCGGCCACAUUGGGACUGAGACACGGCCCAGACUCCUACGGGAGGCAGCAGUGGGGAAUAUUGGGCAAUGGGCGCAAGCCUGACCCAGCAACGCCGCGUGAAGGAAGAAGGCCUUCGGGUUGUAAACUUCUUUUCUUAGGGACGAAGAAAGUGACGGUACCUAAGGAAUAAGCCACGGCUAACUACGUG
rnacentral:rRNA from 1 species